ensembl:lncRNA
CGUAUCUGGAUGUCUCUUGAAAGGACGUCCUCUCAGUUUCAGAAGGACCCAAUGGAAUGCACAAUUCAGCAGUAAGGCCACGGGUCUCCUGACCCUCAGAUAUGUUCCACCACCCUCUGGUUAAGAUAUAUGGUCCUGCAGUAAGUGCAAUCCCACCUAAUGACCCUGACUAAAUCAUUCCAGCUGUGAAACCAUGUAAGCAAGCCCUGAUGAUGACACAGCAUCCAUUUUUUGUGGGUACCCUUGAGUAUGAACAGGCGAGUUAUCUGGGCCAAGCACUCCAUCACCCUCCCCUUUGUCCCCCAGUCUUCUGCUUUUGGCAGAGCUCGAAGGCUUUUACCUAAUCAAGCCAGACACUGUGUGACUGAUUAAGAAUUUGAUUGCAGGAGAGG